GCUGAAAAGUUUUUCCCAAGCACCACACUUUCAUUUUGCUAACAGCCUAGUGGUUGUAGUUUCACUUAAUAUUUAGUUAUAGUUGUCUUGAGCAGGGAGCUUAAAAAAGUGGUAUUAAGGGCUGGGGUUGUGGCUUAGUGGAAGAACAUUCAACUCACCUAGCACAUAUGAGGCACUGUGUUCAAUCCUCAGCACCAAAUAAAAAUAAAAGGUAUUGUUUCCAUCCACAACUAAAAAAUCAUUUUUUCAAAAAAGUGAUAUUAAGACUUGAACCAUCAAAUCAUAUUUGUGAUAUAAUGAUAAUUUUUAUCAUAAAAAUAUGAUUAUUGCAUUACAUCAGUGUUACUGUCUGUGACAAAGGACAUUUGCUUAGUCCUGUGACAGCAAGAGGCCCUGUUUGGUUGGGCCUCUUGGAAUGGGCCACCUCACCAGGCAACUACUUCUGCAGUGUGGCACUAGGACUCCUUGCUAUGCAUGGUCUGGCCCCAGCUUUGUGCUUUGUCUGAGAAGAAGAAGCUGGAAGCCACCUGGAUCAGAGCCAAGUCUUCCUGUUCAUUUUGAUAGGCACUCACUGUGGUGUCCUGUUACCUGUCAACCUAGCUAAGCAGGAAAUGUGUUUCUGAGAAUUUCCUUUGUGGUAUGUACGGUUCUGAGUUGGCUUAGAGUUGAUCUCAGGGAGAAAAAAAAUGCAAAAAGUCUGAAGGAAAAAUAAAAUCCUUGCGUUGUUCUGAAAUCAUCAUUGAUUGAAGCUGUGACACAGAGGACCAGAGGUGCUGGGCAGGUGUCAGAGCACUUGACAGGUGCACAUGAGGCCCUGGGUUUGAUUCCCAGCACUGAAAAAAGAAGAGAAUAAAAGGUGCCAGUGGUUCCAGUGUGCAGACCUUUCCCCACUCCACAUAUUGCUGUCCAUGCUGACACCAGUCCUGCUCACCAGUGGGACACCCUGCCCCACCAGCCCUCCCUG
rnacentral:lncRNA from 1 species